rnacentral:rRNA from 1 species
UAGGGAAUUUUCCACAAUGGGGGCAACCCUGAUGGAGCGACGCCGCGUGCAGGACGAAGGCCCUCGGGUUGUAAACUGCUUUUAUGAGUGAAGAUUAUGACGGUAACUCAUGAAUAAGGAUCGGCUAACUCCGUGCCAGCAGCCGCGGUCAUACGGAGGAUCCAAGCGUUAUCCGGAAUUACUGGGCGUAAAGAGUUGCGUAGGCGUCCCGCCAAGUUUCUGCUUAAAGACUGGGGCUCAACCUCAGGAACAGUAGAAAAACUGGCGAGAUAGAGCAUGAGAGGGGUGGCUGGAAUUCCUGGUGUAGGAGUGAAAUCCGUAGAUAUCAGGAGGAACACCAAUGGCGUAGGCAGGCCACUGGCUCAUUGCUGACGCUCAGGCACGAAAGCGUGGGGAGCGAACCGGAUUAGAUACCCCCGUAGUCC